UGCGUAGGCGGUCUUGUGUGUCGGAUGUGAAAUCCCACGAAUCAUUCGUGGAACUGCAUUCGAAACUGCAGGGCUGGAGUACAGGAGGGGAAGGUGGAAUUCUCGGUGUAGCGGUGAAAUGCGUUGAUAUCGAGAGGAACGCCGGAGGCGAAGGCGACCUUCUGGACUGUAACUGACGCUGAGGACAAAGCUAGGGGAGCAAACA
rnacentral:rRNA from 1 species